rnacentral:rRNA from 1 species
AUUGAACGCUGGCGGCAGGCCUAACACAUGCAAGUCGAACGAGUGGCGGACGGGUGAGUAAUAUCUGGGAAACUGCCUGAUGGAGGGGGAUAACUACUGGAAACGGUAGCUAAUUACGCCUACCAGCAGAUGGGCCCAGGUGGGAUUAGCUAGUAGGGGGGGUAAAGGCUCACCGAGGCGACGAUUCUUAGCUGGUCUGAGAGGAUGACCAGCGACACUGGAACUGAGACACGGUCCAAACUCCUACGGGAGGCAGCAGUGGGGAAUAUUGGACAAUGGGCGCAAGCCUGAUGGAGCCAUGCCGCGUGGAUGAGGAAGGCCUUAGGGUUGUAAAGUACUUUCAGCGGGGAGGCGUUACCCGCAGAAGAAGCACCGGCUAACUCCGUGCCAGCAGCCGCGGUAAUUC